GGUUUAAUUCGAAGCAACGCGAAGAACCUUACCUAAGCUUGACAUCCCAAUGACAUCUCCUUAAUCGGAGAGUUCCCUUCGGGGACAUUGGUGACAGGUGGUGCAUGGUUGUCGUCAGCUCGUGUCGUGAGAUGUUGGGUUAAGUCCCGCAACGAGCGCAACCCUUGUCUUUAGUUGCCAUCAUUAAGUUGGGCACUCUAGAGAGACUGCCAGGGAUAACCUGGAGGAAGGUGGGGAUGACGUCAAAUCAUCAUGCCCCUUAUGCUUAGGGCUACACACGUGCUACAAUGGGUAGUACAGAGGGUUGCCAAGCCGUAAGGUGGAGCUAAUCCCUUAAAGCUACUCUCAGUUCGGAUUGUAGGCUGAAACUCGCCUACAUGAAGCUGGAGUUACUAGUAAUCGCAGAUCAGAAUGCUGCGGUGAAUGCGUUCCCGGGUCUUGUACACAC
rnacentral:rRNA from 1 species